rnacentral:rRNA from 1 species
GUGAGGAAUAUUGGUCAAUGGGCGAGAGCCUGAACCAGCCAAGUAGCGUGAAGGAUGAAGGUCCUACGGAUUGUAAACUUCUUUUAUACGGGAAUAAAGUUUCCUACGUGUAGGAUUUUGUAUGUACCGUAUGAAUAAGCAUCGGCUAACUCCGUGCCAGCAGCCGCGGUAAUACGGAGGAUGCGAGCGUUAUCCGGAUUUAUUGGGUUUAAAGGGAGCGCAGACGGGAGAUUAAGUCAGUUGUGAAAGUUUGCGGCUCAACCGUAAAAUUGCAGUUGAUACUGGUUUCCUUGAGUGCAGUUGAGGCAGGCGGAAUUCGUGGUGUAGCGGUGAAAUGCUUAGAUAUCACGAAGAACCCCGAUUGCGAAGGCAGCUUGCUAAACUGUAACUGACGUUCAUGCUCGAAAGUGUGGGUAUCAAACAGGAUUAGAAACCCCAGUAGUCC